UGUGUUCUAGCAGAACCUACAAACAGUUCUUGAGGCUCCAUGGUAGACUUGAGGAGGGACUAAAACGAGUGAAAGGAAACAAGACACUGGACAUUUUUUAGAAGAAAUGGAUCAAGAAUUUCAAUAGAAAAAAAGSAUCAGAACCAUCAACAUCGCCUCUCAGGGUAGUGUGCCUCUUCUGUACCAGAACUAAAUAUGCACUUAAGCCUUUGGACAUGUGAGUGGGUGGAAGCAAGCCACAGGUACUGAACAGCGCGGGAGCCGCACAGAGAGCUGCGAUUCAAACCAGCGCCGCGGUUUGGGGCCGCUCAGGGUGACAGSCUGGCUCCUCCAGCUCAUGUUAUUUAUAUUUUGGACUGCUGCCCUUUCAGUAAUGUAAGUGAACUUSAAUAUGCAGGCUAGAGUUUGGGGUUUUUUAGUACG